GCGCGUUUCCUGCGGGCUCCGUCCUGACCCUGCUUCCAGCGGCAUUUCCAGUAAGGUCCAGUCAUCAGUCUCUCAGAUCCACCUAACUCACGCUUCAAUAGCCCUGUUCAAAACUCUCCUUCUUCACUGUUUUACAUAUUCAGCCAGCUGCUCUGGGGCUGACCUCCUGCACAUCCUCUGAGGCAGGUGCCUGGGCUUUUCACCUGGACAACAGGGCGAGACUGGGGAGUCGCUUGCACCCAUUUUCAUAAAAUUAUGACCAAGAAAACAGCGGCUGCAAUCUGAUUGUUGCUGAUGUCUUAGAGAUCAUCCUCAGACUUACUGGACUAAACAGCCAUUCUCAACACCCGAUGAUACCCUCCAAGGGCCCAUUCCUCCUCCUUAAGAAAUGCCUGAAGUCAGGUGGAUUGAAAUGGAAUCAAAUACAAAGAAGUCUGCAGGAUUUUCAUGGGAGUUGCACAGGCUCUAGGGACAACAGCAUGGACUAAAAGGCACUGAAAUUACCCCAAACACAAAGAGAUCUGCAGGCUUCCAGAUUAUCUUGGGGUAGGGGCAGACUGGGAAAUCUACCCAGCCACUGAAAUGGCUCCUUUCUUCAGAAAUCCAGAUGCCACAUAAGGUGAUGGAGAAGAAAGGACAUCUCAGAGUGUGAACCCAGGAGCCAUGCAGACCAGUGGACUGAGGAAUGACUCUGGGGGUCAAUGAGGCCCAAAUCAAAGUGCAAUGCUCUCUCCUGGAGGUGCCAGCAUUUGCCCUGUGGAUUUCAGAAUUACUAAAGACCAGUGACUGCUCUGUGCUUCUGUGCUCCAUCCUUGCAAGUGUUUCUUUCUGUGGAGGUCCUUAUUGUGGUUAUUCUCUCUCACCAUUGUACGUUCAAGGUGACUACAACACAGAGAUCACCCACUGCUAAGAUCAGCUUGUUCUGUCCCCCAGAGAGGUGGCUGAUGGUGAUGGUAGGAUCUUGAAGCUUCAUCAUGAUAUGGUAAUUAAAUGGGACUUUUGAAGGUCUUGGAAGCAUAUGAUUACAACACAGAAACUGAAUAGUUAAAGCCAGAGGUGGGUGACAGUGGAUCAAUCGCAUUGACAGCCAUAAUCGAUGAACCCUUUUCAAUGGGAGCAUCUCCUCCAGUCCCAAGGGGGAUUCUAUUUUCUCACCUGUGAAUCAGGCUUGAACUUGCUUUGACAGCAGAAUGGUUGAGUGUCUCUGUGUCACUUCCCCGCCUGGCCCCUGGAGGUCGUUCUCUUCUGCUUGCUGUCUUGCAGGUUUCAUUUGCUGUCUUGUGGGCCUUGCUUCUGCUGAUAACCCUUCCUUCUGGUUAGUUGGCCGCAGGAGGAGAGACCACAGGCAGCCCAGCUGGAUCAGCUCAGAGCAGGUCAUCCUAGAACACUCAUGCAGAUGACAGGCAGCUGGACAAGGGUGUAUGCCUGAGCCUGGCCUGGGGAACAGAGCAAAAUAGCUGAUGCAGAGACCUAAAUAUUCAUAGAACAAAAAGUGAAAAUUAUUUGAAUGCUGCAUUAGUCAAUUCAUAACAGGAAAAUUGCAAGUGCAUUAUAAUUUUUCUAUUUUGAAACACAGGAACUUUUUGCGGGGAUUUACAAGUGGUUUCAUAAGCCAUCGUGUGUGUGUGUGUGUGUGUGGAUGUGUAGCACAAUGAGUAAAUAACAUCAGUUUUUAUGUAUUUGUAAAUGUUAGUUAAUUAGUGAAUUAAACCUUUUUAAAACCCACCCGUACAAUUUGUAUGUAGCAAAUAAAAGGAGAGAAAUAUAAAACACAAUUUAUAAAUUUAUAUACAAAGUAUAAUUUGAGCAAGUUGUGUAAAGAUUAUGAAAUAUGAAGAUUUUGUUCUUCAUAGUUAUGAAAUUAAUGAUUUCAUACUAUCUUUAGAGUAAUUUAAGAAUGUGUAAAAAAUGGCUCCAUUAUGGAAUUUUGUAUAUUUAUUUAAUCUAUUUCUUGUCCCAAU
rnacentral:lncRNA from 1 species